rnacentral:rRNA from 1 species
CUCGUAGGCGGUUUGUUAAGUCAGAUGUGAAAUCCCCGGGCUCAACCUGGGAACUGCAUUUGAAACUGGCAAGCUAGAGUCUCGUAGAGGGGGGUAGAAUUCCAGGUGUAGCGGUGAAAUGCGUAGAGAUCUGGAGGAAUACCGGUGGCGAAGGCGGCCCCCUGGACGAAGACUGACGCUCAGGUGCGAAAGCGUGGGGAGCAAAACA